GGGAAGAGCCACAAAUCCCAGCACGGAGGGAAUUCCAGACCGGGAAAAUGGCAGGAAUCUUCCAUGGGCGCUCCAGGAGAGCUGGAAUUUGGGAAAACAGGAGCCAGGGAAAGGAGAGCUCAGGGUGGGAUUUGGGAAGGAAUUCCCGGCUGGGAGAGUGGAAGAGAAUUCCCAGAGAAUCCCUGGGAGAUGCCGUCGAUCCGGGCAAUGCCAUCGAUCCGGGAGGUGCCAUUGAUCUGGGCAGUGCCAUUGAUCCGGGAAGUGCCAUCGAUUCAUUUAUUUCGAUUUAUAUUAAUUUAUUUAGGGAUAAAUAUCCCUAAACCCCAUUAAUUCUUUCCCCAAUCCCUCAAUCCAUCCCCUCUUGAACUCUCUCCAUUAUCCACAAUCCUCCAUUAUCCUGCAAUCCUUCUCAGCCCCUUAUUCCCCUUCUCCCUGUUAUUUAGAAAUAAUUCCUAUUUCUAAACUGGACAUUUCCUGUUUCUCCAGCAGCCCCUCAGGCCCAGCUCCUCCCAGGACCUCACCUAAACCCCAUCCCCUUCCCCAUCUCAGCCCCUUUUCCCCAUUUUUUAGAAAUAAUUCCUAUUUCUAAAUGGGAAAUUUCCUAUUUCUAAACUGGACAUUUCCCAUUUCUCCAGCAGCCCCUCAGGCCCAGCUCCCCCCAGGAUCUCACCUAAUCCCCAUCCCUUCCCCACCUCAGCCCCUUUCCCACCUCUAUCCCCGCUCCCUUCCACCAUUCCCUCGCUCCCAGCUUUUCCCUGCUCCUUCCCUCAGCCUUCCCCGCCUCGGAGCCUUCUCCACACCCGCAGGCGGAGCGGCUCGGCCGCCUCAGCCCCUUCCGCAGCCCCGCCGUGCCCUCAGAGCCGGCACUCGCAGCUGCUCGGGACGGGCCGGUUCUCCUCAGUCCGGUUCCCCUCAGUCCGGGCCGCUUCCCCUCAGCCCCAGUACUCACGGAUGCUCGGCCCGGGCCGCUUCCCCUCAGCCCGGUUCCCCUCAGCCCCGGCACUCACAGCCGCAACCGCUCAAUCUGGGCCGGUUCCCCUCAGCCCGGUUCCCCUCAGCCCCAGCACUCGCAGCCGCUCGGCCCGGGCCGGUUCCCCUCAGCCCGGUUCCCCUCAGCCCGGGCCGGUUCCUUUCAGUCCCAGCACCCACAGCCGCAGCCGCUCAGGUCGGGCCGGGCCGGUUCCCCUCAGCCCGGUUCCCCUCAGCCCCAGCACUCUCAGCCGCUCAGCCCGGGCCGGUUCCCCUCAGCCCGGUUCCCCUCAGCCCCAGCACUCGCAGCCGCUGGCCUGGCAGCCGCUCGGGCCGGUUCCGGUCUCUCCAGUUCCCCUCGGGCCGGGCCGGUUCCCGCCGGGCCGGUUCCCCUCAGUCUGGGCCGGUUCCGUUCCCUCCGGUUGCCCUGGGGCCGAUUCCGCCGGUUCUGCUCACUCCCGCUGCCCAUUGGGCCGGGCCGGUUCCGCCGGUUCCAUUCCCUCCGGUUGCCCAGGGGCCGGGCCGGUUCCGCCGGUUCCGCUCAGUCUGGUUGCUCUGGGGCCAGUUCCGCCGGUUCCGCUCACUCCGGCUGCCCUGGGGCAGGGCCGGUUCCGCCGGUUCCGCUCACUCCGGCUGCCCUGGGGCCAGGCCGGUUCCGCUCACUCCGGUUCCCCUCGGGCCGGGCCGGUUCGGUUCCCUCCGGUUGCCCUGGGCCGUUGCCCCGCCCCCUCUCACCGGUGCCGCUCACACCGAGCUCUCCGACGCCGCAAUUCCCGCCACGGCCUCUAACCCCGCCCACCGCCCGCCUCUCAGCCAAUCAGCGAGCGCCUCCUCCCCCGCGCUCCGGCAAGGGGC
ensembl:lncRNA